GGAGAGUGAAGAGUACUGUUGCCAAUGAAUCAUAGGAGGAGUGAGAGAGGCUCAGAAAUCAGCCAGGCUUGUCAAAAUAGGAUGCCUGGAGUCUCCACCAGGGCUGAAUGGAUACUAUGUCACUUAGGUUUCAGAACCAGAACACAGGCUGGG